rnacentral:hammerhead_ribozyme from 1 species
AUCCAGCUGAUGAGUACCAAAUAGGACGAAACAAGCAUCUUGGAU